rnacentral:rRNA from 2 species
GUACAUCCCCCGGUCACAGAGAUAACUCGGAGAAAUCCGAGAUAAUAUCUGAUGGUCUGGUAAUUGAAUUAUAAAAAGCAGUGAAAAAUUUUUAAAUUCCAGUUUUCAAUUUUAAAACAAAUUCAAAAUUUUAAAUUUAAAAUUGUUUGUGAUUUGGAGAUUGGUGCUUGAAACUUUCCAAAAUUGAUUUUUAUGAUUCAGUUACCAGUAAAGAUUUUGGGAAACCAAUUUCGGAUCGGGAGUGGCCUACGCCCUAUCAGCUAGUUGGUAAGGUAAUGGCUUACCAAGGCGAUGACGGGUAGGGGGCGUGAGAGCGUGUUCCCCAACGAUGGCACUGAGAUACGGGCCUUACUCCUACGGGAGGCUGCAGUCGAGAAUCUUCCACAAUGGGCGAAAGCCUGAUGGAGCGACGCCGCGUGUAUGAAGAAGUCCUUCGGGAUGUAAAGUACUUUUCUAAGGGAGCAAUUUUGAGUGUACCUUAGGAAUAAGGGGUUGCUAAACUCGUGCCAGCAGCAGCGGUAAUACGAGUGCCCCAAGCGUUGUCCGGAAUUACUGGGCGUAAAGCGUCUGUAGGGUGUUUAAUACGUCUUCUGUCAAAUUUCGAUGCUCAACAUCGAAACCGCAGGGGAAACGAUUAGACUAGAGAGCGUGAGAGGCUGAUGGAACUUAAGGAGUAGGGGUGAAAUCCGUUGAUACCUUAGGGAACACCAAAGGCGAAGGCAUUCAGCUGGUGCGUUUCUGACUCUGAGAGACGAAAGCGUGGGGAGCAAAAAGGAUUAGAUACCCUUGUAGUCCACGCCCUAAACUAUGAAUACUAGUUGUCUGAAGUAUCGACCCUUCAGGUGACGAAGCAAACGCGUUAAGUAUUCCGCCUGGGAAGUACGGUCGCAAGACUAAAACUCAAAGGAAUAGACGGGAGCUUGCACAAGCGGUGGAGCGUCUGGUUUAAUUCGACGACAAGCGUAGAACCUUACCAAGAUUUGAAAUUCUAAUGACAGUUCUGAGAAACCAGAAUUUUCUACAAGGACAUUAGAACAGGUGCUGCAUGGUUGUCGUCAGCUUGUGGCGUGAGUUGCUCCGUUAAUUCGGGUAACAAGCGCAACCCCUGUCGUCUGUUAUAUGUGUCAGACGAAACUGCCUCGUGAUACGAGGAGGAAGGUAGGGAUGACGCCAAAUCAGCAUGGCCCUUUGAUAUCUUGGGCAACACAGGCGCUACAAUGGCCAAUACAAUGGGUCGCUAAGCCGUAAGGUAGAGCCAAUCCCAUCAAAGUUGGUCUCAGUUCGGAUUGGGGUCUGCAAUUCGACCCCAUGAAGUUGGAAUCGCUAGUAAUCGCAGAUCAGCUACGCUGCGGUGAAUACGUUCUCAAGCUUUGUACUCACCGCCUGUCACACCAGAGAAGCCGGGAGUACCUGACAUCCCCUGCCUAGCGGGGGCUUAAGGUAAAUUCGGUGACUAGGGUGAAGUCAUAACAAGGCAUCCGUAGGGGAACCUGUGGAUG